rnacentral:rRNA from 1 species
UACAGGGGGUGCAAACGUUGCUCGGAAUCAUUGGGCGUAAAGCGCACGUAGGCGGUUCGUUAUGUCGGAUGUGAAAGCCCUUGGCUUAACCGAGGAAGUGCAUCCGAAACUGGCGAGCUAGAGUACGAAAGAGGAUCGCGGAAUUCCCGGUGUAGAGGUGAAAUUCGUAGAUAUCGGGAGGAACACCGGUGGCGAAGGCGGCGAUCUGGGUCGAUACUGACGCUGAGGUGCGAAAGCGUGGGGAGCGAACGGG